ACACUCGUAGGCUCGAUCUCGA
rnacentral:miRNA from 1 species